UAUCAUUAUUAUUUUCAAGAGUUCCUAGACCAUUAAACCCAACAGAAUCACCAUCAUCAUAAUCACCGUCCUCAACAUCGUCAUCAACAUAGUACCACCGCUAUCAUCAACAUCACCAUCUUUUAGUAGAAAUGCUUAUAAGGAACAUUCUCACAGACAAGAGAUCUAUGUUUGAACGUUCGUCACAGGAUCAUGCCGAAAUUAUGACAUGAGUGAACUGUUAUUUCAGAAGCCGUAAACGAAUAAGAAAGGGAAUGUCGCUGUCAUCUCAAGGAAGCAUUCGUCGUAGAUCUUCCGGGCCGAGGCUGGGAAAACGGAACAGUGGGACGCGGUUUGAAAUGGAACAUGAUAUUUAUGCCGCGUACAGUGAGGACGACCAACAAGAUGUUCUACCAAUACUGGAUAUCCUAAAACAGAAAAGACUAAACGUGUACGACCCACAUGUAGACGCCUUACCCAAUCAGACGCUAUUCAAAGGAUGGUUGGAACAUGGAAUCCACAAGUCGAAAAUCACCGUUGUAUUUCUUACAAAGAAGUUUGCCAGUCAUAACUACUGCCGUUACCAGGCUGACAAUGCUGCUGUCAGAUAUACAAAGACCAAAGGUCGACACAGACUAAUUAUCGUCAUGUUGCAGUCAUGUAAGAUCCCAAAAAACUUGCAGCACUUCAACUGUGUAUACGCUUGGAAGUUUAGAGAACAACCUGAGGAACAAUAUACAAGAAUACUGAAAGCAAUUUUUGCUCCAAGGGAUAAGUUUAGACGAGGAAGCAUAUUGUGGACAAAUGUGAGCAGGAACGUAGCACAGUUAGCAAAGAAAAGAAUCAGUGAAAUUUCAGCCAUACACAAAUCUAACAGACUUGAAAAGUCUUUGCUCAAGUAUACAGAUUUACUGUUCAACUUGAGCAGAAUCAAAUUCGCGUUAGAAAAUUGUGAACUCAAGUGCACAAGUGAAAAUUGUGGAUUCCGUUGCCGCGGAGACAAAAUCAUUGACCAGUUCUUUUCACAUGUCAAAGUUUGUAAAUAUCAACAAGUAAAAUGUAGAUUUUGUCGACAGACGAUAUUACGCAAAAAUCUACCAAAAACACGAGCAGACGACAUGCAAGCGCAGGCAUAUUCCAUGUCCGAAUGAAUCUUGUAGACAGAUGUUGGCAGUGAGCGAGAUGUAUGGUCAUGCACGUGUCUGCUCAUACAAAGAGGUUGCGUGUAAAAAUAACAUCUACGGUUGUACUGGUGUUUUCGCACGUAAAGACAAAGCUAAGCACCUGGAAAUUUGUGAAUUUGAAAAAGUGACUUGCCAAAAAUGCGACACCUUACUCUUUCAAGUCGACAUAGCAACUCACAAAUGUCACAAAUGUGAAGUCCCGCAAUUUGAAUAUGAUACAAACGACAUGCCGUCGAUUCGAGAGAAUGAGAUAUUCAAAUGUUACUUUGUCGGCUGUACAUUUACCGGCAGCAAACAUGACUUAGAAGCUCAUUACAUGUCUUGUGAAUUUAGAAUAGAGCAGUGUGCCGAUUGUGGAAUGAGGUUUCCAUAUCGAGAUCUUGUCUGGCAUCGACGACAAUGUGAUAGAGUUGUUGAAUGUGAACUGUGCCAUCAGCUGGUUCCAAGUUCGUCAAAGCUUACUCACGACCGUUGGAUAUGCAACGGGCAGAAUAUCCAAGUGCUAUGCGAAGUCUGCCAUAACUGUAUCAGUAACGGCCGAAAAGAAACCCACUCCAUGUCAUGUCUUUGCGGACACCAAGAUAUACAGACUGGAACUACAAGCGUGCCUUUUUCAGGAGCUCUUUCGUCAUCUCCGGUUCAAAUAAACGGAAGUUCUGCACGAGGGUCAGGUUAUGGCUUACGUAUGACUACGCAUGCAAAUUACACGACUAGACUUUCACCGACAUACGAGAGGUUACUGUUUGAUGUGAUGCCAUUAAGGACAACACGAUGGCGGGAACGUUCUUAUUCCGACGAUACUGACUAUUCGUACACGUCAUCGUCAAAUUCACAUUCCUGGACGCCGUCUAGUAGAGACCAGUGGCGUGCACUGAUGCAUCAAAUCGACACUAACACAAGUGGACUGAGAAUGGCAAUGUCCAAUUGCUAAGACUUAUUGUCAAGAUUUAUUUAGGAGAUGCGGUGAUUCUAAUGCAAUUAUCAACACUGUAAACUUACACUUGCGUAACUGUAUCAAAAGCAUGUUUUAGCUUUUCUUUUAGCUUGGAAUGAAAAAUUGCCGCACAUUUUAACUGAUUAAGAAUGUAAUCCUGCCACGUUGCAUGGUUUUCAUAAUAGUCUCACAGAAUUAUUAUUUUGCCAGGAACCGAACUUCAACUUGCUGUAACUGACGAGCUGGAAUGGAUUACUGGUAACUGGAUAAAACAUAUAUUGAAUUGAUAUGCCGAUCAGCUACGACAUUAUACAGGUUGACACGACAGGAAGAGAAGGGCAUUCCAUUUAUUUGAUCUAAUGAGCAGAUAUGAUAGGAUAUGUAAAUUGAUUUGUUGUAAUUAGCAGUUAGGAUUGAACAUAAAAUUGUUUGACCUAGAUAGCAGCUAUGAGGUAACGCGAAUAGAACUGAUCUAGCGAACGUGUAGCUGACAUGAAAUUGAUUUGAUCAAUCAGCCAGUUAGGACAUAACAUACAUUGAACUGUUCUAACGUGCAGCUAUGACGUACCAUGAAUUGAACUGAUCAAUGAACGAGUUGAUUUAGGCGAGCAGCUAGGACGUAACGUAAUUAUAUUAACUGAGACGUUUUAAACUAAUAUGGCAUUUUAGUUAGAAUAACAAACAUUAAUUUAGUUAAUUUAGCGAACAAAAUUUACAUUGAGAGAAGUUAGGGAGACACAACACACAUUGAUUUGAUCUAGAUUAUAGUGGACAUAUAUUAUAUAUUUUUUGUACUCCGCGUUACAUCGUAACACGUACUUCUUUUACAUAAUAAUUAAGUUAUUAAAGUUAUUCUGACAUAUUAUUCAUAAAAGAUCUUUCAAGGAUGAAGCCCAACAUUCAGUAGUAAAAGACAUGUGAUAAAGGGGUACAGGUUUCCAGACACUGGUUUUUCCUGGGCGAGUCGACCACAUUUUAGAAAUCCUUUACGAAUAUCAUGUGAACUUGUAAAACAUAUCCGAAGAUUGUUUUUUAACAUAUACACAUAUACAUAUUAUGUUUGAUUAAUUCGCAUGCAUCUACGGCUUGUAUGUUUAAAUAUGUCAUCGUCAAAUAAAUGUGUCUCGCAAAUCGCA
rnacentral:misc_RNA from 1 species